rnacentral:snRNA from 1 species
GUGCUCACCUCGGAGGCACAUAUACUAAACUUGGAAUGAUACAGAGAAGAUUAUUAGUAUGGCCCCUGCAAAAGGAUGACACGCAAAUUCAUGAAGUGUUCCAUAUUUUU